rnacentral:rRNA from 1 species
UACGUAGGGUGCAAGCGUUAAUCGGAAUUACUGGGCGUAAAGCGUGCGCAGGCGGUUAUAUAAGACAGUUGUGAAAUCCCCGGGCUCAACCUGGGAACUGCAUCUGUGACUGUAUAGCUAGAGUACGGUAGAGGGGGAUGGAAUUCCGCGUGUAGCAGUGAAAUGCGUAGAUAUGCGGAGGAACACCGAUGGCGAAGGCAAUCCCCUGGACCUGUACUGACGCUCAUGCACGAAGGCGUGGGGAGCAAACAGG